GCCAGGCCGACUGAGGAGCGCCGGCUGCGUCGCUACGGUGGCGCAGCCCGCCCUGCCCGAAGCCCGCUUCGGGUUGCACUGCCAUGUCAUGUCAUUUCUGCCGGGUCGGGGCCGACCCGGCAGCUUUUGUCAUCGCGUGACUGACUGAUUACGGUUGCCAUCACGCGCGACUUGUUAAAAUUCGGAUAAUCUCAGCGGAUUAGACAGUCGGUUCAGCGUCUGUCUGCAUUGUUCAUCCAGACUUCGCAUAUGACCCAGCAACGCACUCUCAAGAACACCAUUCGCGCCACCGGCGUCGGCCUGCACAGCGGCGACAAGGUGU
rnacentral:sRNA from 1 species